rnacentral:rRNA from 1 species
UACGUAGGUGACAAGCGUUGUCCGGAUUUACUGGGCGUAAAGAGCUCGUAGGCGGCUCGGUAAGUCAGGUGUGAAACCUCCAGGCUCAACCUGGAGACGCCACCUGAUACUGCCGUGGCUAGAGUCCGGUAGAGGAGCGUAGAAUUCCUGGUGUAGCGGUGAAAUGCGCAGAUAUCAGGAGGAAUACCAGCGGCGAAGGCGGCGCUCUGGGCCGGUACUGACGCUGAGGAGCGAAAGCGUGGGGAGCAAACAGG